rnacentral:rRNA from 1 species
UACGGAGGGUGCAAGCGUUGUCCGGAAUCACUGGGCGUAAAGGGCGCGUAGGCGGCUCAUAAAGGCUGUGGUGAAAGUCCGGGGCUCAACCUCGGAUCGGCCGUGGCGACUCGUGGGCUGGAGCACUGUAGAGGCGGGUGGAAUUCCGGGUGUAGCGGUGGAAUGCGUAGAGAUCCGGAAGAACACCAGUGGCGAAGGCGGCCCGCUGGGCAGUGGCUGACGCUGAGGCGCGACAGCGUGGGGAGCAAACAGG